rnacentral:rRNA from 1 species
GCAUAAUCUCUAAGGAGAAAAGCAGGGGAUCGCAAGACCUUGCGCUUUUGGAGCGGCCGAUGUCUGAUUAGCUAGUUGGUGAGGUAAAGGCUUACCAAGGCUUCGAUCAGUAGCUGGUCUGAGAGGACGACCAGCCACACUGGGACUGAGACACGGCCCAGACUCCUACGGGAGGCAGCAGUGGGGAAUUUUGGACAAUGGGGGCAACCCUGAUCCAGCCAUGCCGCGUGAGUGAAGAAGGCCUUCGGGUUGUAAAGCUCUUUCAGCCGGAACGAAAAGGGUACGGUUAAUACCCGUGACUAAUGACGGUACCGGAAGAAGAAG